AGAGUUUGAUCCUGGCUCAGGAUGAACGCUAGCGGCAGGCUUAACACAUGCAAGUCGAGGGGUAGAGGUUGCUUGCAACCUUGAGACCGGCGCACGGGUGCGUAACGCGUAUGCAACCUACCUUUUACAGAGGGAUAGCCCAGAGAAAUUUGGAUUAAUACCUCAUAGUAUAUAUCUUUCGCAUGUUAGAUAUAUUAAAGUUCCAACGGUAAAAGAUGGGCAUGCGUCCUAUUAGCUAGAUGGUAAGGUAACGGCUUACCAUGGCUACGAUAGGUAGGGGUCCUGAGAGGGAGAUCCCCCACACUGGUACUGAGACACGGACCAGACUCCUACGGGAGGCAGCAGUGAGGAAUAUUGGACAAUGGGCGCAAGCCUGAUCCAGCCAUGCCGCGUGCAGGAAGAAGCAUCUAUGGUGUGUAAACUGCUUUUGUACAGGAAGAAACAUCCCGACGUGUCGGGACUUGACGGUACUGUAAGAAUAAGGAUCGGCUAACUCCGUGCCAGCAGCCGCGGUAAUACGGAGGAUCCAAGCGUUAUCCGGAAUCAUUGGGUUUAAAGGGUCCGUAGGCGGUUUGGUAAGUCAGUGGUGAAAGCCCGCAGCUCAACUGUGGAACGGCCAUUGAUACUGCCAGACUUGAAUUACAAGGAAGUAACUAGAAUAUGUAGUGUAGCGGUGAAAUGCUUAGAUAUUACAUGGAAUACCAAUUGCGAAGGCAGGUUACUACUUGUGGAUUGACGCUGAUGGACGAAAGCGUGGGGAGCGAACAGGAUUAGAUACCCUGGUAGUCCAA
rnacentral:rRNA from 1 species